AGGACGAACGCUGGCGGCGUGCUUAACACAUGCAAGUCAAGGGGGCCCGCAAGGGCAACCGGCGAACGGGUGCGUAACACGUGAGCGACCUACCCUGGUGUGGGGGAUAGCCGGCCCAACGGCCGGGUAAUACCGCAUACGCUCUUUGAGGGCAUCCCUUGGAGACCAAAGCCGUAGGGGCAACUCACGGCGCAUUGGGAGGGGCUCGCGGCCUAUCAGCUAGUGCGAGGUAACGGCUCACCAAGGCGACGACGGGUA
rnacentral:rRNA from 1 species